rnacentral:rRNA from 1 species
CCUACGGGAGGCAGCAGUAGGGAAUUUUCCGCAAUGGGCGAAAGCCUGACGGAGCAAUACCGCGUGAGGGAUGACGGCCUGUGGGUUGUAAACCUCUUUUCUCAAGGAAGAAGUUCUGACGGUACUUGAGGAAUAAGCAUCGGCUAACUCUGUGCCAGCAGCCGCGGUAAUACAGAGGAUGCAAGCGUUAUCCGGAAUUACUGGGCAUAAAGCGUCUGUAGGUGGUUUGGUAAGUCUGCUGUUAAAGACUGGGGCUCAACCCCAGAAAAGCAGUGGAAACUGCCAGACUUGAGUGUGGUAGAGGUAGAAGGAAUUCCUAGUGUAGCGGUGAAAUGCGUAGAUAUUAGGAAGAACACCAAUGGCGAAGGCAUUCUACUGGACCAUAACUGACACUGAGAGACGACAGCUAGGGGAGCAAAUGGGAUUAGAUACCCCAGUAGUCCUAGCCGUAAACGAUGGAUACUAGAUGUUGCACGUAUUAACCCGUGCAGUAUCGUAGCUAAGGCGUUAAGUNUCCGCUGGAGUCGCUCGCAGAGUGAACUGAAAGGAUUGACGCGNGAGACGUGCGACGACGACGACGAGGGAGAG